rnacentral:rRNA from 1 species
GAGUUUGAUCGUGGCUCAGGAUGAACGCUGGCGGCGUGCCUAAUACAUGCAAGUCGAGCGAACAGACGAGGAGCUUGCUCCUCUGACGUUAGCGGCGGACGGGUGAGUAACACGUGGAUAACCUACCUAUAAGACUGGGAUAACUUCGGGAAACCGGAGCUAAUACCGGAUAAUAUAUUGAAUCGCAUGGUUCAAUAGUGAAAGACGGUUUUGCUGUCACUUAUAGAUGGAUCCGCGCCGCAUUAGCUAGUUGGUAAGGUAACGGCUUACCAAGGCAACGAUGCGUAGCCGACCUGAGAGGGUGAUCGGCCACACUGGAACUGAGACACGGUCCAGACUCCUACGGGAGGCAGCAGUAGGGAAUCUUCCGCAAUGGGCGAAAGCCUGACGGAGCAACGCCGCGUGAGUGAUGAAGGUCUUCGGAUCGUAAAACUCUGUUAUUAGGGAAGAACAAAUGUGUAAGUAACUAUGCACGUCUUGACGGUACCUAAUCAGAAAGCCACGGCUAACUACGUGCCAC